rnacentral:SRP_RNA from 1 species
GCCAGUCGGAGUGGUGCAUAUCUAUAAUCCCAGCUAGUUAGGAAGCUGAGCGGGGAGGAUCAUUUGACACCAGUAGUUCUGGGCUGUAGUGCGCUUUGCCCAUCAGGUUCGCACACUAAGUUUGGCAUCAAUAUGAUAAUCUCCUGGGGGGGUGGGGGGGGCACAAGGUUACCUAAGGAGAAGUGAACUAGCUUCUCCGCAGAGCAUGGCCGAUGUAAGUCCCGUGCUGAUCCGUAGUGGAAUGGCACCUUUGAAUAGCCUGUUAUUGCACUCCAGCCAGAACAACAUAGCAAGAUCCUGUUUCA